rnacentral:lncRNA from 1 species
AGGACUACCACCAACAACGAAAGGAAACCAUCAAGAAAAGGACUAUUACCAAUAAAGAAAUUAACAUCAGCGAUAAGAAACUAUCAAGAAAAAGGACAAUUAUCAAUAAAAAUCUUGCUAACCAACAGGAGGGGCUUGAGGGUGAUCCUUCCUGAUCAGAGAGGGAUUUACUAUCAAUGAACGGGGAAUCAACAGAAAGUGUGUAUCCUGUUAGAAGCGCAAAAUAUACUUUUUUAACGUAUUUUUCCCCAGAAUGUGUCCUUAUGGUAUCCGAAUGUAUACGAAAGAGGACAUUACAGUUAACUAUAGUUUCCUAUUCCAGUCGUAAAAGCAUAACAGUAGAAUUUGGCAAGUUGCCCGAACCAAAGACAAAUGUUGUACUGAGUAGCCGUGAAAAGACACGUAAAUAAAUCAUUGGAAACGAC